UGGUCUCAGUGAGCGUCCACCCAAUUAGCGCUCGGAAUCCAUCGGUUGUCUGGAGGGUGCAGAUGGACUUCUUUGUGAAGAGGGAAUCUGGAGAUGUCUGGAGGUACCAGACACCGUUUUUCUCUGUGAAGCGGAAAACGCCGGGAGCCUGGGGCUGGUCUUUCCCUGACACGAGCUCCAUGGGCUGCCACAUCUGGUAGGACACCCCGAAGCCUCCAUCAACGACGUAGGCUUUGCCAUCGAUGACAACCUUUACCACCAGCUCCGUAAUAUGCUUGAUCAGCACUAGAUCUGGACUGCAGGAGAUGAAAGUCACUGUUCUUUUGAAAUGUGAGCAGACCAGAUGAAAAGGCAGGUACUGACUAGGUUGUCCCACAAAUGUGGUUAUGAUUUAUGUAGAGAAAAACAUUAGCAGAAGAAUAUUAAAGGUGCAAAUGAAGAUGUUCAUACAAAACUAUUCCUUACCAGGACUAUACACAGUAUCAGCAAUUCCACUUUUGAAAAUGUGUUAUCUUCUUUAUCCUAAUACAUCAGCACAUGGACUUCUGGGUUGCACAACCCAGAGUCUGUAAUUUUUUUAAGUUCUUUUUAAAGAGCUGUAAUCUUACUCCCUUAAAGCAGAAUCUAUUGAUUAUUAGACUGAACUUUUGCUUCCUUUGCACUUGCAAUACUUUUAAAUAAAUUUAAGUAUCUAAAAGCA